rnacentral:rRNA from 1 species
GACGAACGCUGGCGGCGUGCCUAAUACAUGCAAGUCGUGCGGACCAUUUAAAAGCUUGCUUUUAAAAGGUUAGCGGCGGACGGGUGAGUAACACGUGGGCAACCUGCCUGUAAGACUGGGAUAACGCCGGGAAACCGGGGCUAAUACCAGAUCGUUUUUUCCUCCGCAUGGAGGAAAAAGGAAAGGCGGCUUCGGCUGCCACUUACAGAUGGGCCCGCGGCGCAUUAGCUAGUUGGCGGGGUAACGGCCCACCAAGGCAACGAUGCGUAGCCGACCUGAGAGGGUGAUCGGCCACAUUGGGACUGAGACACGGCCCAAACUCCUACGGGAGGCAGCAGUAGGGAAUCUUCCGCAAUGGACGAAAGUCUGACGGAGCAACGCCGCGUGAGUGAAGAAGGCCUUCGGGUCGUAAAACUCUGUUGCCGGGGAAGAACAAGUGCCGUUCGAACAGGGCGGCGCCUUGACGGUACCCGGCCAGAAAGCCACGGCUAACUACGUG